rnacentral:snRNA from 1 species
AUACUUACCUGGCAGGGGAGAUACCAUGAUCACGAAAGUGGUUUUCCCAGGGCGAGGCUUAUCCAUUGCACUCCGGAUGUGCUGACCCCUGCGAUUUCCCCAAAUGUGGGAAACUCGACUGCAUAAUUUGGGGUAGUGGGGAAAAAAAAAAAAAAAGACUCCAAGAUCAAGAGUCUGAUUUUCGUGUUGUGGUUCUUCCCCC